CAGCAGCCGCGGUAACACGUAGGGUGCGAGCGUUAAUCGGAAUUACUGGGCGUAAAGCGUGCGUAGGCGGUUUGUUAAGUCUGUUGUGAAAUCCCCGGGCUCAACCUGGGAAUGGCAAUGGAUACUGGCAAACUAGAGUGUGUCAGAGGAUGGUGGAAUUCCCGGUGUAGCGGUGAAAUGCGUAGAGAUCGGGAGGAACAUCAGUGGCGAAGGCGACUAUCUGGGCCAACACUGACACUGAGGUACGAAAGCGUGGGGAGCAAACAGGAUUAGAUACCCCAGUAGUCCCUGUCUCUUAUAC
rnacentral:rRNA from 1 species